rnacentral:rRNA from 1 species
UACGGAGGGUGCAAGCGUUAUCCGGAUUCACUGGGUUUAAAGGGUGCGUAGGCGGGCAGGUAAGUCCGUGGUGAAAUCCCCGAGCUUAACUCGGGAACUGCCAUGGAUACUAUUUGUCUUGAAUAUUGUGGAGGUAAGCGGAAUAUGUCAUGUAGCGGUGAAAUGCUUAGAUAUGACAUAGAACACCAAUUGCGAAGGCAGCUCACUACGCGAAUAUUGACACUGAGGCACGAAAGCGUGGGGAUCAAACAGG